UUCAGGCACGUUCUUCUGCCUGUUUAGGGGAGAAUUCAUGAGACAGGGAAAAAGAGAACUAAAGUCCUGGUGCCCAUCUCUUCUUCCUUCCAAUGGGACACAUACUCCAGGAUGGACCAAUGAGUGCUGUUGCUAGGUGAGCCUUUUCAAACCGGAGCCAUGGCUUAGCAUGACAUGGCACCUUUAGCUCUAGUCCUCUGGCUGUUGUUCAUAAACAAAGCAAUUGUUUCUCCUAAGACUAAAGAGGAUGCUGUGUACACCAACAGUUCAUAGAAUCAUAGAAUUAUUUUGGUUUGAAAACACCUUUUAGAUCAUAGAGUCCAACUGGUAACCUAGUAUUGCCAAGUCCAUCUCUAAACCGUGUCUCUAAGCACCACAUCUAAACAUCUUUUAGAUAUCUCCAUGGACAGUGACUCAACCACUUCCCUGGGCAGCCUGUUCCAAUGCCUGACAGCUCUUUCCAUGAAGAAAUUUUUCCCAAUAUCCAAUCUGAACCUUCCCUCAUGCAGUUUGGGGCCAUUUUCUCUCAUCCUGUCUCUCACUACUUAGAAGAGACCAACACCCUCCAUGCUACAACCUCCUUUCAGGUAGUUGCAGACAGUGAUAAGGUCUCCCCUCAGUCUCCUUUUCUCCAGGCUAAACAGCCCCAGUUCUAUCAACUGCUCCUCAUCGAACUUGUGCCCCUGCAUCACCCUAUACUUACCUACUGGUCAGUAUACCAUUUUUGAUCUGGUGUUGUGUCCUGAUUGACAGAACAAUGGAAAUUAUGUAUGUCCCUCAGUGUGCUUCAAACUAGAGUGCAUGGAGAAAGGGGAGAAUUGGGGAGGCAGGGAACUGGGGAGGUGGGGAAAGGGAUUGUUAAAGCACCGAGCCAGAGGCAACGACUGGAAUCGUGCAAAGCCAAAGUGAUCUGCAGAGAUGCAGCAACAAGUCUCUCUUGAUUGCCAUACUAAUAAGCUCAUUGAGUUUCUUGUAUAUUGAGUAAAAAGGAUCAUGGUCUAUAUCCCCUCUAGCAUGUAGAUUGAAGCAAAUGCUUGGUGGCUCAGCAGAGAAAACUGAAAUAGAAGAUGCCUUUUAGAGGCUCUUUGUAAUGCCUUGAAAGGUGAAAAGUUUGGGUGUAGAAACUAUUUAUAGUAUAUUUGAAUGUGCUAUCUGAGCUCAUCUCCCACCAGAUAUUUGGCUUUUACUGCUGUAUUUGUAGAAAGAAAUGAAUAAACUAUUCUGGAAGCCUUAGUCUGUCUUUGUUAAGUUUUGCUGAAAGUUUUAUUUAAAAUGGGUGGUACUCCAUUAGAAGAACCAUAAAAUGUUAAAAGGACACGAUAAGCUGAGAUAGUUUUCAGGCAAUUCAGUUGUUUGUAAAUUGUGGAGAUCUGUAGGGAUGGAAACAGUGGAGCUCUUUCUUUGCUUUGAAGGAACUGCAGAAUUUGUGCAAAAAAAAAAAAAAGUUAAAGGAGAGGUUUAUGUAGCUGAGGGUGUGAUUUUUAUUCAUCCUCAAUUGCCAGAGAUAUAAAUAAUUAAAUUAUUAUGCAUGUGAUUCCCCACGGUGAAUGUUAAACCUGUGUAAAGUAUGAGUAUUUGUUGGCUGACUGACAAAUGUCUCUACCCUUUCUAUUCAUGGAUUGCACAAGGCAGUGACUCGAAUUGUCCAGUGAAGUGCUCUGUGCCUGAGGGAAUUUGUUUGGUUUACAUGCAAGCUAAUUGAUUAAAUCACCUCUUCGACAAGCCAAAUAGUACUGGUUAACUGGAUAAGCGAGCAGAAGAAAUACAAAAUGUUGAUUGCAAGGCCUUGAUACUAUAUAUUUGCACCGUAUAUAUACACUAUUGUGUAUAUGUACUGUAAUAGAAAUACUAUAUAACUUAUGGUUUCUAUAUCCUGAGCAAUUUCAGAACAGAUGGGCCUAGACAGUUGUUUUUCUUCUGUUCUUCCUAGCAAUAGCACAUUCAUUUAUUUCUUUCAAAAUACAGGCUGGGCUAUGAGUAUCAGUACUGUGGAACUGCUGAAGUAGAGUGUUUGCUGGGGUUUCCUCUCAGGUCCACCUGAAAAGCCAGUGCUGGAACAGUGUGCCACAAAGGCACCAAUGUCACCCCCAGCUCAGCAUCCACAUGCCUUGUCACCCCCAGCUCAGCAUCCACGUGCCUUAACACCCCCACUCAACAGUUUACAUUGCCUUCUGCUUCAUCCUUAAAUCAAAUUAGAGUGAUAGAUUUAACCUGGGACACCCAAAAUAGUUUGGGACAUGAUUACCAAAGAGGCCACUCCCUGCAUGAUGCAGGUGGCAGCAAUUGGGUCUCUUCAAGCUCACAGCUCUUUCCUUUAAAAGAAGGGGCCGUGGCUGUAAAGGGUUUUCCCUGCAGCAUUCUCAGCUCUGUGGUCUGGCACAGCAAGGAUCUUCUGCCUUUGGAGGAGAGGUCCUGUGAAAAAAACAAGGAAGAUGGUGAUCUACUGUUCUCUCCUCCUCUUAAGUUUGCUCAGUGGGCAACUCAAUGCCAAUCCUGGAGUCAAAGUGAGGAUCACCCAGAAGGGCUUGGAGUAUGCCAAGGAGGUUGGGCUGGAAAUCCUGAAGCAGAACAUGGAGAAGGAGCAUUUCCCUGAUUUGAGUGGCUAUGAGAAGUUUGGGCUUGGUAAUGUCAAAUACAACAUCUCAAGAAUACACGUCACUGCUGUUGAAUUCCCCAGUGCUUCCAUUUCCCUCAUCCCUGGGACUGGGAUAAAACUGGUGAUUGGAAAUGCGUCUCUAACCAUUGAUAUGAACUGGAACAUAAGGACCUGGAUGUUUAAAGACAGCGGGAGAGGCACAGUGCACAUUUCAAAGGUGUUUGUUACUGCAAUCUUUUCAACACCCCUGGAUAAUAUGGGUCAUACAUCAAUAUCACUUACCAGCUGCCGGACAACUUCUGGCGACAUAGACAUCAAGUUGAAUGGAAAAAGUGGCUUCCUGCAUAACUUCUUUAUCAAGUAUCUGAAGAAACCCAUUCACAGGAGACUGGUCACUAACUCAUGUCCUAACAUCAGAUCUGGGAUCCAGUUGAUAGAUGAAGACCUCCGAUCACUGAAUGAAACUACAGAAGGUGCUUUAAAGAAGAUGCCAGUAGAAACAUCAAGCCUUAGGUCAGAAUGCAUGUUAGGAGAUUCCUGGUUGUGUUUUUCUCUACUCUUUGGAACAACUUGUCAUUCUCCUUCAGGAACAGACUUAGUUGGGACAGUCUACCCAGCUGGAAACUAUACUGGUCCUCCCUAUGUGGCAUCUCCCUUUGCUAUCCCAGACCCAAGUGACUCCAUGCUCUACCUUGCCUUCUCAGAGUAUUUCUUUCAGACCUCCUCAUUUGCCUACUACACUGCAGGGGCCUUCAACCUCACCAUUACAGAGGAGACUUGCAGCUAUUUUAAUAUAAGCACAGAGAUAUUUGGCAGUAUCAUCCCUGAGGUAGCCAAAUAUUCAGUUAUACCCUACCCAGUGAUGUUGAAGCUAAUGGCUACUGAAGUACCUAUCAUCAGCUUAGAGGAGGAUUCCUUCACGGUAGAGAUUCAGGGCUCCAUGGAGGUGUUUGCUGUUCUGCCAGACUCAACCACCCAGUCAUUGUUCACAAUGAACAUAACAGCCAACACCAGUAUCGCUCUGAAUAUAUUUGACCAGAAAUUGAUGGGAUCGCUAUGUUUGAACAGGCUCCAAUUCUCCCUAGCCCACUCCAAUGUUGGCUUUUUCGAGAUCUCACUUCUGGAGAACAUCCUGUCUUACAUUUUACAGACUGAAGUAAUUCCAUCAGCUAAUGUUUCCAGUUUUCAUUAACUUGAGUGGAAAAUGACUGUUCGCCAAUAAGCAGUUGAAGGGGGAGAUUGAUUUGGAGGGGUCUAAACUGUCAAAAGGAUUUCCUCUUCCCAAUCUGGCCAAUGUUACCUUGACGAGACCUCACAUUACAAUUGUACAGGGAUACAUCUUGAUUUCUACUGAUGUCCACUACAAGCACUAAAGGAGAAGAAAGACCAUUUGCUAAGUGUGACCUUCAAAUCAAAAAUGUGACUCUAAAGGCCAAAAAAUGUCCAGUUCUGCUAAAAAAUGUUAACUUCAGCUCUGACAAGGGCAAUGUUGCCCCUGUUGGGGGUGAGGGGGGAUGCAGGGAGGCAAAGAAAGCUGAUGGAGUUGUUAAGCAGUACAGUGGAGGAGAACAUAUGAUGCAUGUUUGACUUUAUUUAUUCUGGACUUUAACUGAUAUAAAAAUGUUUUUAAGAUUAAUGCCUCUCUUGAAAUACAGUAUUGUCUAUACACUUCCAGAAAGGUUUCCUUUCUCAAAAGAAGGAAAAGUACAUUGUCAAAAAGCUGCUAGGGCAGGCAUACCUCCUAAUCUGUUUCUACUGUAAUGAUGUGAAACAACUUCCUUCUGAACAUGAUGCACUAAGCAUGAAGCAAGCCCUCCCUAGCACCACAUCAGACUGGGAACUGUCCCAGUUACAAUGGGAACUAGAAUCCUAGCACUGUCUUAGCUAAACUCUUAACAUAAAUCUUAAAGAUGCAGAAGUAACCCAAGAAGAGAGACAAAGUAGCAGUACUGCUGCCUCUGGUAGUCCUUCUCCUCUUGUGACUCUCCAAGUCCUUGUGCCUGCCAUAUCCCCUGUUUAGCAUUACUUGGCCAGGUUAGAUACAUUUAACUCCCUGAAUGUUUCUGGUUAAGACUUAGAAGUUCAAUCCUCCACUAUCUUUGUUGGUGUUUCUCUAGACUGAAGUAGUUAUAGAUACUUUACUUCUUACUUCAUUUUAUGUUGCCUUACCUUCUUUCUCUCUACCUCUUCUUUAAUACUUUCUGUAUUAGCAUGCAAAUCAGUUCUGCAGAGGACUGUGCCUGCCUGGUAAUGAUUAGGUGCUUAUACUUUGGCCGAGUCUGAAAAGAAACCAGGCUCAGACCUCCCAAACUAGCACCAGCAGGGAAGAAGCAAAGGCUACAUCCCACUCUUUUGCUGCUUUUGUGAGCCCCAAACUGUCCCUACAAGAAGCCCCAUCCACUUGGUGCGAUGACUUAAACCCUCACCAUACCCAUGUCUCCUUACCAGGAGCCCUUUUCAAGCCAAGUCUGUACAGUAAAAAGCUGUUUUCCUCAUAGAAUCAUAGACUAAUAGAAUCACUUUGGUUGGAAGAGACCCUCAAGAUCAUGAA